rnacentral:tRNA from 1 species
UGUUCUGUGGCUUAGCUGGUGAAAACGCUGGACUAGCGAUACGGACUCAUGGGUUCACAUUCCAUCAAAACAA